CCUACGGGAGGCAGCAGUGAGGAAUAUUGGUCAAUGGGCGCGAGCCUGAACCAGCCAAGUAGCGUGAAGGAUGACUGCCCUACGGGUUGUAAACUUCUUUUAUAAAGGCAUAAAGUGAGGCACGUGUGCCUUUUUGUAUGUACUUUAUGAUUAAGGAUCGGCUAACUCCGUGCCAGCAGCAGCGGUAAUACGGAGGAUCCGAGCGUUAUCCGGAUUUAUUGGGUUUAAAGGGAGCGUAGAUGGGUUGUUAAGUCAGUUGUGAAAGGUUGCGGCUCAACCGUAAAAUUGCAAUUGAUACUGGCAGCCUAGAGUACAGUUGAGGUAGGCGGAAUUCGUGGUGUAGCAGUGAAAUGCGUAGAUAUGACGAAGAACUCCGAUGGCGAAGGCAGCCUACUAAACUGCCACUGACAUUGAUGCUCGAAAGUGUGGGUAUCAAACAGGAUUAGAUACCCGUGUAGUC
rnacentral:rRNA from 1 species